GACGAACGCUGGCGGCGUGCCUAAUACAUGCAAGUUGAGCGAUGAAGCUUGGUGCUUGCCCCAAUUUGAAGAGCAGCGAACGGGUGAGUAACGCGUGGGGAAUCUGCCUUUGAGCGGGGGACAACAUUUGGAACCGAAUGCUAAUACCGCAUAACAACUUUAAACAUAAGUUUUAAGUUUGAAAGAUGCAAUUGCAUCACUCAAAGAUGAUCCCGCGUUGUAUUAGCUAGUUGGUGAGGUAAAGGCUCACCAAGGCGAUGAUACAUAGCCGACCUGAGAGGGUGAUCGGCCACAAUGGGACUGAGACACGGCCCAAACUCCUACGGGAGGCAGCAGUAGGGAAUUUUCGGCAAUGGACGAAAGUCUGAACGAGCAACGCCGCGGGAGUGAAGAAGGUUUUCGGAUCGUAAAACUCUGUUGGUAGAGAAGAACGUUGGUGAGAGUGGAACGCUCAUCAAGUGACGGUAACUACACAGAAAGGGACGGCUAACUACGUG
rnacentral:rRNA from 1 species